rnacentral:lncRNA from 1 species
AGUUAUAGAAAAGAUUCUCAACCGAAAAACACCCAAAAAAUAUAGCAAUCUUUAAAAAAAAUUAUAUAAUACAUCUGAAUACAUUAAUUAUAUUAAAUAAAAAAUAUAUUAAUACAUUAAUGAAAUACAACAGGACAGUAAAUACAAUGAAAUACAUGGAAUACAACGAGAUACAUUGAACUACAAUUAAAAAAAGGACAAAAAAAUAUUGAAAUAUAUUAACAGAAAAUUCAAAUUGCUCAGCCCUAAACUUUGUCUUCUUUGUUCAAGGGAUUUCCCCAGAUCAAUUGCGUCUGAUUUUUGCCGGAAAGCACUUUGAAGACGGCGGUACCCUAGCUGAUUACAACAUCUAGAAGGAGACGACUCUUCAUCUCAUGCUCUGUCAUGGUAGUGCUAAGAACAGGAAGAAGAAUCGGAGCCGAAGAGGGUCGACGACGACAAAGGGGUUCGAUACACAUUAAUAUAGCACUUCAUCUUCAAAUAGAAAAUAAUCUCGUUAAUUCCCCCAAUCUGUUGGAACACCAUCAACCCAACAGAUAUCUAAAGAUAGAAAUAAAGAAGAGCAAAAUAAGUAAUUUUAGAAACGGCAAGAGAAACUGGGGCUAAUGGGGGCUUAGGCUUAACAAGCCAAACGGCAGAAAGGGAAGGCAAAGGCCAACUAAUUCAGCCCAAUUUGAUACCCAAAAUGGGCAGUUUGAGGGGUAAUAAUACUAGGAGGCUUGGGCCUGAAGCUGAGCCCAAUAGGAGAGGGGCAAUAAUCGAGGCUUGACAAGGACAAAGCCAUAGCCCAUAGGGCCGCCAAUUCCACAUUUUACAUUCUUGGCACCAAUAAUUCAAUCAGGGCCUGAAUAAGGCCCAAAUAAUCUUAAACAUAUGGCAAGAUGAUAGGCAAAAUUCCGAAUUACAAUACCCAAAUAACCUAUUGUAUACCUUUCUAAGAAAUGUUUUACUGCCGAUAUACAUUUGGGAUUCAAAAUUACUCACUAGUUAUGCAACAGUCAUGUAUACAACUAUCUUAAUCAGUGAUAAAUAGUUUAAAUUUACAGCAAUUAUCAAACAUGUAAUCUUUGCUUGAAUUAUAGCUCUAAAGAUGACAUAAAUUUAAAGCUAAUCAACAAAGGAUUCCACAACUGACUCAAGCAUGCAUCACAGUACACUCCGACCCUCUAAAUGUUUAAACAUUUAAACUCUCUACCCCAAAUCGCAAACCAAUAUAAGAGGCAAAAGACUACACAAUAACUUGAAGAGGAAAUACAAGAACAACAAAAUGGAAAAUACAUAAAAGAAUUGAGAUUAAUGCAUGGACAUGAAAAAAAUCUAAAAGUAAAUGUUAAUAUUCAGCAAAACUCAAACCUCCAACUUGUUUGCAUGUUUCAUAUUUGCAUCUCAGAUAACAUUAGGGCCAAGGAGUACCCGGAUACCAAAGGCAAAACACAGAUGUAAGGACCUUAGCAAAAGCACAGCCGUGAGAAAGGCAGCAAACAAACAACAAUACACAACUUCCUUAGUUCAAAUUAAAACCCAGAAAAAGCACAUACCCAAUGAAAGAUUUUUAAAGUUCUUCCUCAAGAAAAGAGAAUCAGAAAACUUAGUCAAUUUCCAAUGAAACAAUGCAGAAAGCUUUUUUAUAAUCUUUUCAGGGUCUGCGUGUGUGUAAAGAGUGAGAGGAAGGCCUUAUUUAUAUAACAGAAAUCUGUUGUGUGCCUUCCAAGGCAAGGGGAUAGUAUUUUUUUCAAAAUACCCCUCAAAGGACAUCUUGUCUAACAGAAAAUGGACAGGUGUCCUUAAUCUAGAAGCUUCUAGAUGCCUUAUCCGAAAUUCUUACUUUUCUACUUUUCAAUUGACCUCCUAAGUUCUGUUAUGACCCGUUUAGACCCCCUUUUAGUUUCUAUUUGCUCAAUUGAAACCCCUGAAAGUUUUAAACCUUUACAAACUAAACAAACAAUUGUCUAACAGAAACCAUAGGCCAACCGAAUCAAAUGGCCUUAAUUUAUAAAAUAUAAAUUGGUUUAAAAUGAAAUCAUAAACAAACCCAACGCUUGAACAAUCAUAACUGACAUUAGCAAGAACAAUCAAUAAAUGAACCUAUUCGAGAUUUAAGCUUUGAAACAAUCAACACAAUCAUCUUAGCAGGGGAUCAAAGCACUACGAUUCACUAACAUAAAAAUUUCAUUGAAUACAAGUUUAACUAAUUAAAAUAAACCCUAAAUGAAGAACUACUGAUUCUGAUUGCAACAAUACAAUAUUAUUAACCGUAAAUCGAUGACUAACUUUGACGAUCAUUCACAAGAAAACAUAAUCUAACGGCUUGAGAUUAAAACUAACUACUGCUUUUCUUUUUUAGAAAAAAGAAACAAAAACGAACAAAACAAAACCAAAAAAAAUAGAAGAAAAGGAGAAGAAGCUAAAGAAAGAUAGGAAAAUGAGGAAAUAGAAAGGGGGAAGGAAAACAAGUACCUACUGCAACGAACGACCAGUAUACGAUAAACUUUCGCUGGUCUUUGGAUUGUGCAUAAAAUCCAGUGAACUUUAAAAUGGGCCGGAAUUGGUACUAAUCAAUUGUUCUUGAUAAGAACAAUCAACUGGUACAAAUUUCGACCCCAAAUCAAUCAUCAAAUCCUUUUGAACCUAGAAGGGAAGAAAAUUAGGGUUUUUACUUUCUUCUUGGAACCAGAUUCAAAAUUGGGACUAAUGGGUGGGGGUUUUUUGGGAAGGUGAUGGUAGUUCAGGGUUUAAAGAGGUGUGUAGUGUGCGGGCUGUGAUUUUGGGGUGGUUUAGGUGAGUUAAGGUUUUUGGGAUUGAGUCUCAGAUUCAAUAUUCGAAAAGUUUGAAGGUGGAUUUGGGGAAAAGGAUCUAAAGAUAUAGAAAGAGGAAGGCAAAGGGAUUGUGUGGUGUAAUUUUUAGGUAGUUUGGAGACCGGCCGUCGACCGGAGAUGAUGGGAAAUUUUAGGGCGGCGGCUAGUAUUGGCUGUGUUAGAGCGAAUAAGAUGAAGAAUGGGAAGGGUCCAAAUGG